rnacentral:rRNA from 1 species
UGGGGAAUUUUGGACAAUGGGGGCAACCCUGAUCCAGCAAUGCCGCGUGAGUGAAGAAGGCCUUCGGGUUGUAAAGCUCUUUUGUCAGGGAAGAAACGGUAGUAGCGAAUAACUAUUACUAAUGACGGUACCUGAAGAAUAAGCACCGGCUAACUACGUGCCAGCAGCCGCGGUAAUACGUAGGGUGCAAGCGUUAAUCGGAAUUACUGGGCGUAAAGCGUGCGCAGGCGGUUUGGUAAGACAGAUGUGAAAUCCCCGGGCUUAACCUGGGAACUGCAUUUGUGACUGCCAGACUAGAGUGUAGCAGAGGGGGGUAGAAUUCCACGUGUAGCAGUGAAAUGCGUAGAUAUGUGGAGGAAUACCGAUGGCGAAGGCAGCCCCCUGGGCUAACACUGACGCUCAUGCACGAAAGCGUGGGGAGCAAACAGGAUUAGAUACCCCAGUAGUCCCUGAGCGGGCUGGCAAGGCGCAU